CUCGACCACAGUUGAGCCCCAACAUUUCGGUUGUUAAGGAAGAAUGAAGUAUCCAUUGCAACAGCUGAAACAACACAGCCAGCUCUGCUGGUGCAGAGGGCGUGUUCCGCUCCGAGGGCUAUCAUGCCCCCAGAAAAGCAAGCCAAGUGCCCCAUUUUAUGAUCCAAGAUGCCUCCUCGCCAUUCGGCAAUAUAGUCAAAAGCCUUUGUACAAAAAUACUUGAAAUGAUUUGUGGACUUUGCCCAUGAAAUAGGAUGUUUCACCAAGGAAGCAAAAGGGCUCCAGACAAAGCAGUUUGAAACGGUUUUGAUUCUGAAUGACUGCAAUGUGCCAUGUUUCCUGAAGCCAACGAGCCAUUCUUAACAUUAAUAAUGAAACAAACUCUUUAAUAUUUCACGUAUUGUGGAGUUUGCUAGUAUCAAUAAAUAAAUAUAAUACCAUUUUCCCCCCAAAAUAAGACCCUGUCUUACAUUUUUUUGAACCCUGAAAUAAGCACUUGGCCUUAUUUUUGGGGAGGUCUUAUUAUUUUGGGGCGUGUGGAGCAAGAUGGGGCUCCUCUUGCCAUCUUACCUGAUUUCCAGCUCUG